GAUAUGGCAUUGAUGUAGUAUAUGUAUUGAGCUUAAAUAACUACGUAGCUGUAGUCAUUUAGGCUCAUUAUUGACAAACACGCAAUAUAACAAAUACCUUCGGCGAAUAAUCGGUUGCCAAAUCAACAGCUGUGCAUGCGCAGCAGUAUGUAAAAUUUGCUAAAUUUUUUGAAUAGAAAAACGACAUGUACAUGAGUGUUGUAGAGUCUUUGUAGUAUCACUGAUUUUUUUAUGAUGAGAAAAAUGAGCUGUCCGGAUGAUUCGAAUUUGAAAGCGCUCAUACGUAUUUAUAAAUUUUAUAUCGUGUCGAUUGUUUAUAGUAUCCUGAACAGACAUGUUAGACUUCAAGUUACAGACACAACGCAAAAGUCUUCAAUGUCGAUAGGAACCGAAGGAACGGUACUUUUGGAUGUAACUUGUGAUGCGUUAAGGGCAGAAACAGUUGAGUUACAGUUAUUGUUUAAGAUCGUCUAACAAGCAAAUGGUAGUUCGAAAUGGAUAUCAUAAGCAUUACAAGAAGUAUGUUAUUUUUACUUUUGAAGUGUUGUUAAGACAUUAUAUCAUAAAAUUAACAACAUUCACAUCUUCCGCACUUCUGAACUGAUGAUUACAGAUCACAUUUGAAAAUCGGCUAGAUACUCUCGGAAACACAUUUUCUCGGUUUGACGGUAUUAAAUGAAAAAAUGAUUGCGAUUCGUUUAUUUAUAAAUACAGCCUUUUUCCGAAAUAUGAAACUUACAAAAAGCAAUGCAAAAUCAGCGGCGAGCGUAGAGUGGAGCAGCUACUAACGGUCAUGCACACCUACUUGAAAAGCCACUAACAAAGCGCUACGAACAGUUACUGUGGUGGUACCCCACACGAUUCUGUUUAAACAACAUUCUCUUCAUAUAACAUAUUUGGUUUUUUUUUUAUAUAUAUAUAAGAGAGAUAUAAGAGAUUGUCAAUUAGUUUUUAAUAAAUGUUCAUUCUAACUUGCAGCUUAUAUGAUGAAACAUCAAAAAAAAA